GGCCUCCUAGUACUUAUUAGUACAGGCUGUAUUCUUACACUAAAUGUGCAAAUAGAGGAGGCCGAAUAAACCCACCCACCGCAUGUCACCUCCUGAGGCCCUGUGCCUGGUUUGUAUUGAGAGUGAGCAAGGG
ensembl:snoRNA